UACGUAGGGUGCGAGCGUUGUCCGGAAUUAUUGGGCGUAAAGAGCUCGUAGGCGGUGUGUCGCGUCGGCCGUGAAAACCUGGGGCUUAACUCUGGGCGUGCGGUCGAUACGGGCAGGCUAGAGUUCGGUAGGGGAGACUGGAAUUCCUGGUGUAGCGGUGAAAUGCGCAGAUAUCAGGAGGAACACCGGUGGCGAAGGCGGGUCUCUGGGCCGAAACUGACGCUGAGGAGCGAAAGCGUGGGGAGCGAACAGGA
rnacentral:rRNA from 1 species